rnacentral:lncRNA from 1 species
AGAAAAAGUAAGAUUUCUAUUAUGCUAUUGAAUGAUAUAUACACAAUUGGUGUCGCCAUGUUAUACCGAUGCAUAACUAGUAAUUACAACAUUGCAUUGUAAAAGUUAGCAGCACUGAUAACUUCCCUUUCAACUUGGAACAUAAAAAUGAAAAAAAGACAGUGGAAUAUUCAAGAAACAUUUCCCUUUAACUCCAUAUCCAACUCAUGUUGCGGCAACGACGCAUAAUAACAUUGCAAUUCCCUCCUGAGCAGCACAACAUCAAUAACAGGGCUGCACUGGCAAUUUCUAGCUGACUUCUAAUGACAGUAAUAGAUAUUUACUAAUAGUAAUGUUUUUUUUUUUUCAGUUAACAGGAAUUGCGAAGAAAUUAACUUAACAAAAUAACGUAGUGCAUAGUCAUUAACAGGAUCAUUGAUUAAUAUGCUCCAAUUAACAACACAAACAAAUUCCACAAUUG